UAUGUGAUCGUCUCUCGCAUAUCAAUAAGCGGAGGAAAAGAAACUAGCAAGGAUUCCCCUAGUAACGGCGAGUGAAGCGGGAAGAGCUCAAACUUGAAAUCUUAAAGGGUUUCCCUUUACGAAUUGUAGUUUAAAGAGGUGUUUUCUGUUGAGGUUUUGGUAAAAGUUCUUUGGAAUAGGACAUCAUAGAGGGUGAGAAUCCCGUAUUUGACCUUUACUUUCAACUUUGUGAUACACUUUCAAAGAGUCGGAUUGUUUGGGAAUGCAGUCCAAAAUGGGUGGUAAAUUUCAUCUAAAGCUAAAUAUUGGCGAGAGACCGAUAGCGAACAAGUACCGUGAGGGAAAGAUGAAAAGAACUUUGAAAAGAGAGUUAAACAGUACGUGAAAUUGUCAAAAGGGAAGCGUUUGACACCAGUGUUGUUUUUCUGAAAAUCAAUUAAAGAACUGUUUAUGCUAAGUUGUUUAGACUUUAUCAGCUAACUGUUUAGUUUUGAGCUUUUCUUUAAUGCACUUUUCAGUUAACAAGUCAACAUCAAUUUCUUUUGCUGUAAAAAAGCUUGAGGAAGGUGGCUUGAGAUUCGUCUUAAGUGUUUAUAGCCUCUUGCCUAUGCAGUCGGAGAGAUUGAGGUCUGCAGCGUAGAUCCUUCGGGGCUAAAUGCAUUUGUGCUAAGUUAUAGCAUUUUAUAGACAACUUGUUGACUAUGAUUUGUCUUGUAGCUUACUCGCUUAUGUUAUUUUACCUACGCUUAGGAUGUUGACACACGCGCGUGCUCG
rnacentral:rRNA from 1 species